rnacentral:misc_RNA from 1 species
AGAUAAUGAGAGAGGAUUGAAAAGAGGUAUGUGGAGAGGGAUUUACAAAGCAUGAGUGUUAAAAAUAGAAAUAUCGGCUAUUUGGAAUCCUAAGUGUGGUAAUUUGAUGAGAUUCUAGCAACCUUUUAUCAUCGUGACUCUAAUUCCAACAACUCCAAAGUGCAUCAACAUUGGAUUCUAGCAUAUCGACAAAUUCCGAGUCGAGUGGUAUUGUCUUUUGCCAACGGAAGUACUCGUUGGAGGUGGAAAUAAAGAAGGAACGCCUUCUAGAGCCUUGUGCCUGGAACA